rnacentral:snoRNA from 1 species
CUGCAGACUGAUCACUUCCGCUGUGUUUCAGUGUGAAGGGGAGCCAGGUCUGCUAUAGUGGCAGGGUGCACAGACAGUG